rnacentral:rRNA from 1 species
AACGAACGCUGGCGGCGUGGAUUAGGCAUGCAAGUCGUACGCGAAAGUUCCCUUCGGGGGGCGAGUAGAGUGGCGAACUGGUGAGUACAAGGUGACUAACCUGCCCUUGAGUGGGGGAUA